UGGCCUCAAAUCAGGUAGGACUACCCGCUGAACUUAAGCAUAUCAAUAAGCGGAGGAAAAGAAACUAACAAGGAUUCCCUUAGUAACGGCGAGUGAACCGGGAAGAGCUCAAAUUUGUAAGCUGGCAGUCUUCGAUUGUCCGCAUUGUAAUCUAUAGACGUGUUUUCCGUGCUGGACCGUAUCUAAGUCCCUUGGAACAGGGUAUCAAAGAGGGUGACAAUCCCGUACUUGAUACGACCACCAGUGCUCUGUGAUACACGUUCUACGAGUCGAGUUGUUUGGGAAUGCAGCUCAAAAUGGGUGGUAAAUUCCAUCUAAAGCUAAAUAUUGGCGAGAGACCGAUAGCGAACAAGUACCGUGAGGGAAAGAUGAAAAGCACUUUGGAAAGAGAGUUAAACAGUACGUGAAAUUGUUGAAAGGGAAACGAUUGAAGUCAGUCGUGUUCAUUGGAUUCAGCUAGCUCUGCUAGUCUACUUCCUUUGAACGGGUCAACAUCAGUUUUGUCCGGUGGAUAAAGAUGGCAGGAAUGUGACUUCCCCCGGGAAGUGUUAUAGCCUGCUAUUGCAUACACUGGGUGAGACUGAGGACUGCAGCUCGCCUUUUGGCCGGUCUUCGGACACGUUCGAGCUUAGGAUGUUGACAUAAUGGCUUUAACCGACCCGUCUUGAAACACGGACC
rnacentral:rRNA from 2 species